UCCUUUCUCAUCUCACACAAAAAUCCCCAAAUCUCCAAGCCGUCGCCGAUAACCACCACCGCGACUCUCCACCGGUCAUCACGAAAUUCCGGCGACUCGAUUCACCUCCUUCACUCCUCCCUCUACUUCCCCAAUGAAAUCCCACACUUCAGAUCCCCAAUUUCAGCAAAACUCCCAAAUUGUAGCCCCAAAACAGUCCCGCGCCCCUCCGAUUUACUCACGCUGUCCACCAAUCGUCGCCGGCGUGCCCUUCGCACAUACGCACCCGCCAGAAUCGGCUCCGCCACUCCAUCCCGGAGUUGCUACUGCUGCAGUGGAGUCGCGGCUGCUUCUGCAACCAGGAGGCAUCGCCGCUUGUCGCUCCGACUGCUGCUCGCUGCCUCUCUCCCAUCUCCGCUGCUGCUGUACCAGUCCCGUCGGUCUGGCAGCCACCGCACAUCACCGAAUCAACCCCGAAGAUAAGUUCUCAUUACCAAAUUAUCUUCUCUUUCGCAUUUUUGAUUAAUUUGCCGUGGGCUGUUCAAAUGAGUUUGGUCGAUUCACGUUCUUGUUUGAGUUAUGCGAUUAGUUGGUUGUUGAUUUAGUUUCGAGUUUCGAUUGAUUGUGUUCGCAAAUUUUGAGAUUGAGGGGAUAGCAAUAUACCUUGCUUGAAUUUGUUGUUCCAAAAAGAGUUGGUAGAACCGAAUAGAGGAGUCACUUGUGCAUAAGUUUGAUCGCGGACUCAAAAUUUAGAGGUAGAUUAUGGAGGAUAUUACCUUCAAUUGAGUGUGGAUAGGAAGUGAAAUUGUCGCGACUUAUUGCUCGAAUUUGGGAGUAGAACAAACUGUGAAUGAGUGAGAAUUUGUGAUCUUGUGAAUUUUGCAGAUUAUGAAAUUGUUCGCGAAAUUUGUUAGAUAUGGUUGACCGUUUAGUGUAGGAGAUUAAUUGGGGUAUUAAAGUGUGAUUAAUCACCUUGAAUUGGAUUAAUGGCGAUUAAUUUCUGAAAUGAACUGCAGGAUUAAAUCGAGUUUAAGGGGAGUAAAAUUGCAGAGUAACGGCAGGGCAAUUUCUGGAGCAGAAUGAAGAAUAACAAAAAUUUCAUGUUGGGAGCAGAUCAUGGAGACUCUACCGAUCUACCGUGAAGGAACAAAAGAUGGAGGGAUUGGGCUAAAAAGGAUUAAGCAUCUCCCCCUUAUUUAUUUAAUUAGGGAAUUAAUUAAGGAGUAAAAAAUCAGAAUUAAAAGUUUAAUUUGGUCAAAAUCACGAUUAAACCUGUUGGCCGUUAGUUUUUAACGGAAAUGUUGACGGAGGACCAAAAUGAUCAAAUUUUCAUAUGUUCAGAACUACAAAAUCCAAACGAUAAUGUUUAGGAAAAAAAACGUAAAAUGGUCAUAUAUUCAGGACCAAUUUUGGCCUUUACUCUUUCUUUUAUUAAUUAAAGUUUACGGAAAACUUUAAUUAAUUUCGUCAUCUAAUUCUAAACAAAGAUUAACAUCACCCAACGCAACCAAUUAACAAUUGGUGAUGUUCUAAAUAUUAAUUCUUCCAAAAAUCGAUCCAUACUUCAAACACGCCGCGUACUCCAUAGUACUUCCAAUUAAUUCCACGAAGAUCCAAGAUAAAAUUCCUUUCCAUCAAAACAAUUCACUUAUCCGAGAUUAUGAUAUUUCAAACACCGUAUGAACUUCCCUUCGCGAAAUUCAACAAAAGAAAGUCCCUAGGUGUUAUGCCAAGUACUAUAAAAAUUCACCGCCAAAGAAUAUUAUUCGUGCAAGCCAAAAAAUAUUUAACUCCUCGCUUCGCGAGAAAUUAAAUAUUAAUUUUUUUUUCCAGAAAUCUUCCUUUUUAUCACCAUAUCGCAUUCAAUACCAAAAAUUUUAUUAUCCGAAAAUUGCGGGUGUUACAUUUUUAGCGUCAAUUGAGUUUCUAUUUGCAAUAAUGCACACAAUUUUUUUGGUCGAUUUUUCUGGAAAAAAUGAAAUGGUAAUCAUUUGAAUUAGGGUUCUAUCCAUUAUUGAAGUUUUUAGUUGAUUUCAUAGUUAUAUUUAGUUUAUUUUCGAUUAUUGCGGGUAAAACCGUACUGAUUUCGUAUAUGUUUCUGGAAAUUAGGGAUUUUGUGUUCAGUUUGUUGACGAUUCUGUCCAUUAUUGACGAUUUUGGUUGAUUAUUAAGUUAUAUAUGUGUUUUUGUCGUUUUGGAUGAUGAAAUUUAACUGAUUUUGUUGGUGUGUCUGACAGAACAUCAAUGACGAAAAGAGGCAGACCCUUCAAAAGCCAGCCAACACAGACUACAGAUUAUAGUUACGAGAGAUCUCGCUAGAUGGACAACUGCGCGUGUCAAGUCACAGUCUUAUUUGCCGAGAAAGUUAAAGUGGUGUGCACGUGACAUGUUCAAUUGAGGAUUUGUAGAUAUGUUAAUCGAUAUUUUUCUUUGUUGUAGCAGGUUGCAAAUUGUGUAAUAGUGUGCAUGUGUCAUGUUAAAAAAAAGGGGGGUACACAGUAGAAAGAUUUAUUCGUAAUAAGAGGUGAACGUACCAAAACGUGACACCAAUUAUUCAAUUUAAUAAAUCGAGUAAGGGGUGUUACAGAUUGAACUCCAAAUCUCUCUUUUUAAUGAAAAAAUGGAUAAAUAUGACA